rnacentral:rRNA from 1 species
GACGAACGCUGGCGGCGUGCUUAACACAUGCAAGUCGAACGGUAAGGCCCUUCGGGGUACACGAGUGGCGAACGGGUGAGUAACACGUGGGUGAUCUGCCCUGCACUUCGGGAUAAGCCUGGGAAACUGGGUCUAAUACCGGAUAGGACCCUGGGAUGCAUGUCCUGGGGUGGAAAGCUUUUGCGGCGUGGGAUGGGCCCGCGGCCUAUCAGCUUGUUGGUGGGGUAAUGGCCUACCAAGGCGACGACGGGUAGCCGGCCUGAGAGGGUGACCGGUCACACUGGGACUGAGAUACGGCCCAGACUCCUACGGGAGGCAGCAGUGGGGAAUAUUGCACAAUGGGCGCAAGCCUGAUGCAGCGACGCCGCGUGAGGGAUGACGGCCUUCGGGUUGUAAACCUCUUUCAGCUAUGACGAAGCGCAAGUGACGGUAGUAGCAGAAGAAGGACCGGCCAACUACGUGCCAGCAGCCGCCGUAA